rnacentral:rRNA from 1 species
AAGAAGCAGAGGGGGCUUAGUGGUGGGGUGACUGCGUACCUUUUGUAUAAUGGGUCAGCGACUUAUAUUCUGUAGCAAGGUUAACCGAAUAGGGGAGCCGGAGGGAAACCGAGUCUUAAUUGGGCGUUAAGUUGCAGGGUAUAGACCCGAAACCCGGUGAUCUAGCCAUGGGCAGGUUGAAGGUUGGGUAACACUAACUGGAGGACCGAACCGACUAAUGUUGAAAAAUUAGCGGAUGACCUGUGGCUGGGGGUGAAAGGCCAAUCAAACCGGGAGAUAGCUGGUUCUCCCCGAAAGCUAUUUAGGUAGCGCCUCGUGAAUUCAUCUCCGGGGGUAGAGCACUGUUUCGGCUAGGGGGCCAUCCCGGCUUACCAACCCGAUGCAAACUGCGAAUACCGGAGAAUGUUAUCACGGGAGACACACGGCGGGUGCUAACGUCCGUCGUGAAGAGGGAAACAACCCAGACCGCCAGCUAAGGUCCCAAAGUCAUGGUUAAGUGGGAAACGAUGUGGGAAGGCCCAGACAGCCAGGAUGUUGGCUUAGAAGCAGCCAUCAUUUAAAGAAAGCGUAAUAGCUCACUGGUCGAGUCGGCCUGCGCGGAAGAUGUAACGGGGCUAAACCAUGCACCGAAGCUGCGGCAGCGACGCUGAUGCGUUGUUGGGUAGGGGAGCG